rnacentral:rRNA from 1 species
UACGGAGGGGGGCUAGCGUUGUUCGGAAUUACUGGGCGUAAAGCGCACGUAGGCGGCUUUGUAAGUUAGAGGUGAAAGCCCGGGGCUCAACUCCGGAAUUGCCUUUAAGACUGCAUCGCUAGAAUUGUGGAGAGGUAAGUGGAAUUCCGAGUGUAGAGGUGAAAUUCGUAGAUAUUCGGAAGAACAUCAGUGGCGAAGGCGACACCCUGGACUCAUACUGACGACUGGAAGGUGCGAAAGCGUGGGGAGCAAACAGG